rnacentral:tRNA from 1 species
ACCCGGCUGGCUCAGUCAGUAGGGCACGUGACUCUUGAUCUCGGGGUUGUGAGUUUGAGUCCCACUUUGGGCA